rnacentral:tRNA from 1 species
GCAGCGCCUGGCCGGGGCGGCCGGCGGCGAGCAGCAGCCGCGCGGCCUCGACCAGCAGGGGGAGGGCCGUGGGGUCCUGCCCGGCGCGCAGCACC